rnacentral:rRNA from 1 species
UACGUAGGGGGCAAGCGUUGUCCGGAUUCAUUGGGCGUAAAGAGCGUGUAGGCGGCCAGGUAGGUCGGUUGUGAAAACUGGAGGCUCAACCUUCAGAGGUCGACCGAAACCAUCUGGCUAGAGUCCGGGAGAGGAGAGUGGAAUUCCUGGUGUAGCGGUGAAAUGCGCAGAUAUCAGGAAGAACACCCGUGGCGAAAGCGGCUCUCUGGAACGGUACUGACGCUGAGACGCGAAAGCGUGGGGGAGCGAACAGGAUAGAA